rnacentral:snRNA from 1 species
AUACUUACCUUCUGUCGGACUCUCCGGUGAUCAGGUAGGCCGGGGUCCCGUGCCGAGGCCUGUCAUUGCACAGUGGCAGGUUGAAGCACGCCACUAUCCCAAAUUGGGAUAGAUGGGGCAACUAAUUUUUGGUAGUGGGGCUGUGCGUUUGGCCAGACCGCCAGCCCCUU